rnacentral:lncRNA from 1 species
ACCUAUACAUUAGCGGUCCACUCAGCGUAAUCAAAAAUGGAGAUGAACCGGGCCAUUGACUCCAACCUGCCAUAGGGCUAGAAAAGGAGACAUAUAAGGGUUAGGAUACAUAAAAGGGCUAGGAUACGCACCUGACAUCAUAUGAAAAGGCUGUGCCGUAGGUAUCGUCGAUUGAACUGUUGGGUCGGGUGAUUGUGUCGGUGCUGUUGCUGGGCCUGGUGAUUGUAUGGCGUUGAUGAUGAGCCGGG